AAUCAACGCUGGCGGCGUGCCUAACACAUGCAAGUCGAACGCGGUUACCCCGCAAGGGGUAACUGAGUGGCGAACGGGUGAGUAACACGUGGGUGACCUACCUUCGAGUGGGGGAGUAACGUUCCGAAAGGAACGCUAAUACCGCAUAACAUCCUGCCUUUGAACAGGUGGAGAUCAAAGCUGGGGAUCGCAAGACCUGGCGCUUGAUGAGGGGCCCGCGUCCGAUUAGCUAGUUGGUGAGGUAACGGCCCACCAAGGCGACGAUCGGUAACCGGCCUGAGAGGGCGGACGGUCACACUGGGACUGAGACACGGCCCAGACUCCUACGGGAGGCAGCAGUGGGGAAUUGUUCGCAAUGGGCGCAAGCCUGACGACGCAACGCCGCGUGAGUGAUGAAGG
rnacentral:rRNA from 1 species